UACGUAGGGCGCAAGCGUUGUCCGGAAUUAUUGGGCGUAAAGAGCUCGUAGGCGGUCUGUCGCGUCGGAUGUGAAAGCCCGGGGCUUAACCCCGGGUCUGCAUUCGAUACGGGCAGACUAGAGUGUGGUAGGGGAGAUCGGAAUUCCUGGUGUAGCGGUGAAAUGCGCAGAUAUCUGGAGGAACACCGGUGGCGAAGGCGGCAUCCUGGACCGGCAUUGACGCUGAGGCGCGAAAGCCAGGGGAGCAAACGGG
rnacentral:rRNA from 1 species